rnacentral:rRNA from 1 species
UCUUGGUCAAUUAGAGGAAGUAAAAGUCGUAACAAGGUUUCCGUAGGUGAACCUGCGGAAGGAUCAUUAACGUAUCUCUGGCGGGUGCCUCUGCGCCCUGCUCCGGUCCCAACGGGCCGUGCAGCGGGCGAGCCGGCCCCGUCCAACCUUCACAAACCCACCGUGCACAUUGACGGCGGAAGGGCCCUCUAGUGGGGCCUGGAAGCCGCUUCCACAAACUCGUAAACAAUCUGAAUGUCUAGCGGCCUCUGUGUCGCCUAAAUUUGAAACAACUUUCAACAACGGAUCUCUUGGCUCUCGCAUCGAUGAAGAACGCAGCGAAAUGCGAUAAGUAAUGUGAAUUGCAGAAUUCAGUGAAUCAUCGAAUCUUUGAACGCACCUUGCGCUCCUUGGUAUUCCGAGGAGCAUGCCUGUUUGAGUGUCUUGAAGUCAUCAACCCCAAACGUUUCGUGCGUUCUGGCGGUUGGAGUUGGGGGCUGCUGCCGCGAGGCUGCUCCCCUCAAAUGCAUCGGUUGGACCUGUGGGUCGAACUCGACUGGGCGUUGUACCAUCCUCGCUCUUACCCGAGACGUUCCCCUUUGUUGCGUCCUUCCACAGACCCCUGCCCGUUGGAGUUGGCGGUCGACACUUGAAAUUCUGACCUCAAAUCAGGUAGGACUACCCGCUGAACUUAAGCAUAUCAAUAA